AACGAACGCUGGCGGCAUGCCUAACACAUGCAAGUCGAACGAGACCUUCGGGUCUAGUGGCGCACGGGUGCGUAACGCGUGGGAAUCUGCCCCUCGGUUCGGAAUAACACAGAGAAAUUUGUGCUAAUACCGGAUAAUGACGAAAGUCCAAAGAUUUAUCGCCGAGGGAUGAGCCCGCGUAGGAUUAGCUAGUUGGUGGGGUAAAAGCCUACCAAGGCGACGAUCCUUAGCUGGUCUGAGAGGAUGAUCAGCCACACUGGGACUGAGACACGGCCCAGACUCCUACGGGAGGCAGCAGUGGGGAAUAUUGGACAAUGGGCGAAAGCCUGAUCCAGCAAUGCCGCGUGUGUGAAGAAGGCCUGAGGGUUGUAAAGCACUUUCAAUCGUGAAGAAAAGUUAGCAGGCUAAUACCCUGUGACCUUGACGUUAACGAUACAAGAAGACACCGGCUAACUCCGUGCCAGCAGCCGCGGUAAU
rnacentral:rRNA from 1 species